GAGUUUGAUCGUGGCUCAGAUUGAACGCUGGCGGCAGGCCUAACACAUGCAAGUCGAGCGGCAGCGCGGGGCAACCUGGCGGCGAGCGGCGGACGGGUGAGUAACGCGUAGGAAUCUACCCAGUAGCGGGGGAUAGCCCGGGGAAACUCGGAUUAAUACCGCAUACGCCCUAAGGGGGAAAGCAGGGGAUCUUCGGACCUUGCACUAUUGGCAGAGCCUGCGUUGGAUUAGCUAGUUGGUAGGGUAAAGGCCUACCAAGGCGACGAUCCAUAACUGGUCUGAGAGGAUGAUCAGCCACACUGGGACUGAGAUACGGCCCAGACUCCUACGGGAGGCAGCAGUGGGGAAUAUUGGACAAUGGGGGCAACCCUGAUCCAGCAAUGCCGCGUGAGUGAUGAAGGCCUUAGGGUUGUAAAGCUCUUUUGGCGGGGACGAUGAUGACGGUACCCGCAGAAUAAGCCCCGGCUAACUUCGUGCCAGCCGCCGCAGUAAU
rnacentral:rRNA from 1 species